rnacentral:rRNA from 1 species
UACGGGGGGGGCAAGCGUUGUUCGGAAUUACUGGGCGUAAAGGGCUCGUAGGCGGCCAACUAAGUCAGACGUGAAAUCCCUCAGCUUAACUGGGGAACUGCGUCUGAUACUGGAUGGCUUGGAUCCGGAAGAGGAUGCGGAAUUCCAGGUGUAGCGGUGAAAUGCGUAGAUAUCUGGAGGAACACCGGUGGCGAAGGCGGCAUCCUGGGCCGGUAUUGACGCUGAGGAGCGAAAGCCAGGGGAGCAAACGGG